GACAGCAUAAUUUCUCGCGGCGUUCGAUUUAGUAUCUCUAUCUGUUGUGAAUCGCUAGCGGAAUCGGAUCGUUGGAUCGUUGGCUCGGAAUGAAAAUAUCGAACUCGCAAACGGAUCGCAAACUGAUCUGCCGAAAUCGAAUCGAAUCGAAAUCUCAAAAUCUCGAAAUCCCGAAAACCGAAAAACUGAAGAAGCGGCGCUGCGGACGCGUACAAACGUACUGACGGAUAUGCCGUCGUUGACGUCGUAACGCCAAAUGUUUUCACUUUAUUUUGGGAAAUUUCACGACUUAUGACAGCGGAAUUGCACUUUACUGGAUGAAAUUAAAUUUAAUUGGCACCGCUUCACUCACGUCCGAUGAUCGAUUGCGAUUGUUUCGAUUGUCGUCGAAUGGAAACGAUAUUACGAUGUGACACGGACACUAGCGAAGCGAGCCGAUUGAUUCGGAUUGAGGAUUGGAAAUGAAAAUAUUGUACAAGAAUCUAUAUGUGCGAGGAGGUAUAGACGUGUGUAUAUUUCCUACACUUCACUUUACUGGCGCAGAAAAUCGCAUAUACACCGAGAAUGUAUAAUUAUAAAUAAAUGUUCUAUAAAAAA